rnacentral:rRNA from 1 species
AUGAACGCUAGCGGCAGGCUUAACACAUGCAAGUCGAGGGGCAACACGGGUAGCAAUACCUGGUGGCGACCGGCGCAAGGGUGCGUAACGCGUGAGCAACAUGCCCUAUACAGGGGGAUAAUCCAGGGAAACUUGGUCUAAUAUCCCAUAGUAUUUAGAGGUGGCAUCACCACUAAAUUAAAGCUUCGGUGGUAUAGGAUUGGCUCGCGUGACAUUAGCUGGAUGGUGGGGUAACGGCUCACCAUGGCGAUGAUGUCUAGGGGUUCUGAGGGGAAGACCCCCCCACACUGGGACUGAGACACGGCCCAGACUCCUACGGGAGGCAGCAGUGAGGAAUAUUGGACAAUGGAUGGAAAUCUGAUCCAGCCAUGCCGCGUGCAGGAAGACGGCCCUAUGGGUUGUAAACUGCUUUUAUAUGGGAGCAAUAAGGUUUACGCGUAGACCGAUGAGAGUACCAUAUGAAUAAGCAUCGGCUAACUCCGUG